rnacentral:rRNA from 1 species
UCAGGACGAACGCUGGCGGCGCGCCUAACACAUGCAAGUCGAACGAGCGAGAGAGAGCUUGCUUUCUCAAGCGAGUGGCGAACGGGUGAGUAACGCGUGAGGAACCUGCCUCAAAGAGGGGGACAACAGUUGGAAACGACUGCUAAUACCGCAUAAGCCCACAGGUCGGCAUCGACCAGAGGGAAAAGGAGCAAUCCGCUUUGAGAUGGCCUCGCGUCCGAUUAGCUAGUUGGUGAGGUAACGGCCCACCAAGGCGACGAUCGGUAGCCGGACUGAGAGGUUGAACGGCCACAUUGGGACUGAGACACGGCCCAGACUCCUACGGGAGGCAGCAGUGGGGAAUAUUGCACAAUGGGGGAAACCCUGAUGCAGCGACGCCGCGUGGAGGAAGAAGGUCUUCGGAUUGUAAACUCCUGUUGUUGAGGAAGAUAAUGACGGUACUCAACAAGGAAGUGACGGCUAACUACGUGCCAGCAGCCGCGGUAAAACGUAGGUCACAAGCGUUGUCCGGAAUUACUGGGUGUAAAGGGAGCGCAGGCGGGAAGACAAGUUGGAAGUGAAAUCUAUGGGCUCAACCCAUAAACUGCUUUCAAAACUGUUUUUCUUGAGUAGUGCAGAGGUAGGCGGAAUUCCCGGUGUAGCGGUGGAAUGCGUAGAUAUCGGGAGGAACACCAGUGGCGAAGGCGGCCUACUGGGCACCAACUGACGCUGAGGCUCGAAAGUGUGGGUAGCAAACAGGAUUAGAUACCCUGGUAGUCCACACCGUAAACGAUGAUUACUAGGUGUUGGAGGAUUGACCCCUUCAGUGCCGCAGUUAACACAAUAAGUAAUCCACCUGGGGAGUACGACCGCAAGG